rnacentral:misc_RNA from 1 species
UUGGGCGCCGGCAGAGGAAGCUGGGAGCGGAAUGAAGCUCCACAAGCAGGGAUCCGAGCAGAAGAGGGAGAGAAGCAGGGAGGGAGCACGCGCGCGCAAGGGAGAGCUGGAGAUGGCCGGCGGCCGUCGCGUAGGAAGCUAGACGCCGAGCGCCAUGGAACUUCGCGGCAGGAAGCAGAGAAGGGAGCUCGACGCGAGCUGGAGCCGGAAACCGAGCAGGGAGGCAGAGACCUUCACGGCGCGGUGCAGGGAGGUGGAACGAGCGGCCGCCAUGGGAGGGAGCCGUCCGUGAGAGCAGAGCAGAGGAUUUGCUGCGCAAAGAAGAAGAACGCACGGCUGGAGAUAAAGAUUGCUAAGCGCUGA